rnacentral:rRNA from 1 species
AUUGAACGCUGGCGGCAGGCCUAACACAUGCAAGUCGAACGAGUGGCGGACGGGUGAGUAAUGUCUGGGAAACUGCCUGAUGGAGGGGGAUAACUACUGGAAACGGUAGCUAAUACCGCAUACCAUCAGAUGUGCCCAGAUGGGAUUAGCUUGUUGGUGGGGUAACGGCUCACCAAGGCGACGAUCCCUAGCUGGUCUGAGAGGAUGAACAGCAACACUGGAACUGAGAGACGGUCCCGGCUCCGUCGGGGGGUAGCAGUGGGAAAUAUUGCACAAUGGGCGCUAGCCUGUUGCAGCCAUGCGGCGUGUAUGAAGAAAGCCUCCGGAUUGUAAAGUACGUUCAGCGGGGAGGCGUUACCCGAAGAAGAAGCACCGACUAACUCCGUGACAGCAGCCGCGGUAAUUC